CAAAACCUCGCUGAGGGAAGCUUCAGGCUUCCCAAAUGGGAAAAUGUGCUGCGGUGUGAGGGUGUGACUGCCUGGUCGGUUUCCUGCGCACCAUUUGAGAGUGCGCGGUGGCAGGCGGGAAUCGGUUUUGAAGCCAGCCUUGCCGUUGGGACGCAAGUUUCUUGAGGUGUCUUAAUAAGAAACAGGGUCUCACUCUGUUGCCCACACUGGCCUUGAACUCCUGAACUCAAGGAAUCCUCCUGCCUCCUGACUAACUGGGACUGGAGACCUGUACCACCACGCCCAGUCUUUCAUCUUCUCAUUGCUUAGAAAUGACUUGUUCCUGAAAGUACUGUGAGAAGACAUGGGGAGGAAUGAGGUCAAAUGCACACACCAUGAUGAUAAGGAGGAGAGAGCAAGCACUUAAAAUACUGUACAGCAUUACCUCAGGCUAUGUGUCUGAGGUGUAGAUGAAACACAAAUGAACUUCCUGUUUCAAUUUGAGUCCCCUCUCCCAAAUAUCUCAUUACAUAUAUGCAAAUAUUCCAAAAUCUGAAACAUUUCUGGUCCCAUGAUUUCAGGCAAGAGACACUCAACUGACUUUCAAAAGGAUGAGCAAGAAAGGAAAUACAUCUCUUGAAAACUAAUUUUAUUUUAUUAAUUAAUAACACUAAAACUUCUUUAUCACUAAAUAUUUCAUUAGUAAUAUUUUAGAGUGGUGCGAUUAAAAAUGUUUUACUUUUUAAAAUUGAUUUACCGCUCUAAUACUGUUAUGUGAAA